GUUUAUUAUAUGAUUUACUCAUAUGAUAAACUUUCUCUCUAUCUAAAUGUUAUUGAGGUUGUCCAAAAGCUUCUGCUCGGUUUGUAACUUUCACAAAUAAUAAAAGUCCGACCAGCUAAAUCUCCAAAAAUUGAAUAGUCAAUCAGAAAUUCAGAUAAUAUCCUAGCAGUUGCCUCCACGUGGUGACUCACCAGUAAAUUUAAUAUUUUUUGUGUCCCAAAAAAACAAAAAACAACUUUCUAUAUUCUCCCGUCUUUUCAAGUAAACCCACGACUGAACUUUUCAGGUCAUGAGAAUGACACUUAUUAGUUCCCAAUCGUGGGAAAGAGAAUAUUAAGAGUUUUUAGGGUAAUUGAAAAUUUCCUCAUUUCUCUAUAAAUAAGCCUACACAUGUCUAUGCCUCACAAUCAAAAAAUGCAUCACAAAAAGAAGUUCCUCUUGUCUUGGCCGAUUCACCUCCAAAGCUCCAAGCGUGUUCCAUUUCCUUCAAGUAAAUCAAAUGCUUCUUCAAGAAAUCAAGUGUUUUCCCUUCCAUUUAGGUAAGUUCUUCCUCCUUUGGCUUUAUUUUUAAGCAUUUUGUCCUUUAAAAUUCUGCCCAAAUAUUGAUUAGAAUAGGUGAAUGCUGAAACCCACUUUUGAUAUGCACUCCUUGAAAUUUUGUGAUGAAUAUUUGUAGGAUAGUGCUUUUGUGGUUGUUUUGAUGUAGAUUAGGCUUUGGCUUAGCCAAUUUCACUUUCAAUUUCAUGAAAUUUUGAAGAAAAAAUAGUUUCCCAUCCUCCAUUGCAUAUUCGGGUUUAUGGGUUUGCAUGAACUUUGAAGUUUUCUUGAAACUUUUUGAAACCCUUGAAAUUCCCUCAUUGAUCUUGUUGUUGUACUCCAUGAAUAGGAAACACAUGUUUGAGGGAACUUGUGCUUGCUAAGUGAUGAUUUUUAAAAAAAAACAAAAUCACUGUUCGGAUUCGUGUGUGUGACCAAUCAGAUAGGCAUUCUUCCACUCGGACUGGCUUGCUUCGAUCGAGUUCCUUGGCUGUUCGGAACACGUGAUCAUUGUUAGAGACAUGCGUGAGCUUCUUGGAAUUGUGUUUGUGGCAGAUUAGGUUUGCCUUGGCUGGUCGGAACCCGUGCCUAACUAGUCGGCUAGGCCCUAACUCCUCGGACAAUUUGGGUAACCCCGAUUCAUGUUGGCAUCGAUCGGGAGUACCGUACCACCUGCUCGGGUGACAUAAGUAAAUCAAAUUUACAUUGGCCCCGAUUGGACUUUGCUCACUAUUUCGCUCGGUCACACACUUAGUCGCUUGAGAAGCCUUGGCUCCUUGGUGUCCCUUCAUCCGCUCGAUCACAUGCUUAGUCGCUCGGGUAUGUACCCAUCUUUGGGAACCAAAACACCACCUGAACACAAAAACAUAUAACACCCAAUCGGGUUGGCCUUGGAAUGUGCCAUGUGACACUAAAUUUUUUUUUCUUUGUGAACUGCAUCAAAUUAUCACUACUACUCACAUACAUUUUUAUCUGGACUGUAAAAUAUUUUUACUGCUCAGAAAAUUUUUCACUGGGCAGUAAAUAUUUUUACUUUGCAUUCAUUUUCUAUUUGGUUUACUCACCUCCUCGUAUUUUUUGUAGAUGAAUCAUUUCGACUACAGGGGAGGUGACAACCAAACAAACUACGUUUCCUCAUCUCCUGCUUCAAGUGAUACCCUUUCGAGCAGCAAUUCUUCUUCCAAAUCUCCAAGAAAAAGAACUCCGGAAGACCGUCUUCGUCAUCUCAAGAAAAUGCUUCUGCGACCAGCUUUAUACUUCCUUCACAAAGAUUAGUUCCUUAAGCAUCAAUGUUAGCACCAACCGAUGAGGGUAAAAAGUCCAAUCGACUCCCUCAGGAACAAGAUCCCCAAGUAGCUCGUAGAGCAACACAAAAGAUGGUGGAACGAGUGCCUUUUGUGGGAGAAAAUUUAUUAGAAGAGGUUGAGACUAAAGCCUCUUCAAAGCCUUCUCGCCAAGUUCAAAAAACUAGUAAACCCAAGAGAAAGGCUACCUAGACUUUUGCCAUAGAAAUCCAACAAACUGCUACACUCAAACCGAGAAAAAAAGAGGAUCGCGUGCCCUCAUGGUUCGUAGCUAAGGCUUCUAAGUCAAACUCCAAAAUGCUCGAUAUACACAUUCAAACUUUGGGACUUGAAGGAGUGAAUGUGGUAUGCCCACACCCGUACUAGAGAGCCAAUAACCCUGAUGGUGCCUAUUGUGCCUGGUUUAGGUAUCACAUUUAUGCAGGAGCUACUAACCCUUUGCAUCCUUUCUUUAGGUCAAUAGCAGAUUACUUUAAUGUUUCUCCCUUCCAGAUUUCUCCAAACGGGGUACAAGCCCUAUCUACUUUAUACAUUCUCUACCACUUCCAGGGCUAGAACCCACCUACCCCUCGUGAGGUACAUUAUUUGUUCGAUUUUAGGACCAAACCCAACCACAAGAAUACAUGUUUUUUUUCUAGCUCUUUCAUAGGCAAAAAUGGGUUAAGUAUCUUCAUGGUAUUGCCCAUAAAUCAAAUCCUGGAAAGUAUUAUAAGCAAUACUUUCUUACUCCAGACAUUAAAGCCAACAACCUGGCUUUUACGCAUGCAUACCCUUUUGAUCAACCUCUUCCAACCAGGGAAAUGCAUUCCUGACAGUUGAUAUCGCUAACAUGUCCAUUGAGGAGAAGGAUGUUGAGCAGUUGGUCACCUUGGAGAAUCUCCAAUUGGUGGGGUUGUUACAAAACAACCAAGAUAUUGUUGUGGGCAGUACAACUGAUGAAGCAGAUACAACUGAUCAGUCUAAUGUCGAUAUCGAAGUAGUGACUGACUAGUUUUCUCCUGAACCAUCUCCUCAUCCACGCUGACCAGAUGAUCUUAUCAUUAGAGAGUCUCUUCUUGAAAUUCCUCACCGACCCGCCUUCCGUACCAGGCCUGGCAAUGGCAAAAGCAUUGAUCUCCUUAGAGAAGACAACUCAUCGGAAGACGGGGAUGAGAUUUUCGAUGAAUUUCUGAACUCAGAUCUAACCAUGUUCAAGCAGUUCAGACUCCCUCUGCCCAAAAGAGGAAAACUGGUGAAGGUAGCAGCUUGAAUCCUCAAAGCAAGGCCAUGAGGACUACACCACCUAACCAGGGGAGAGCAUCUGAUCAGUCAGUCACUAUCCCACGCUGGACUCCUCCGUCAAUUCCUUCUUCUGCCAGCCUACAAACUACUCGGUCAACCUACUUAAGCGAGCCCCUUUGCAUUGCUGGUGAGUAUGACAAAGAGUUACUAGACCAUACUCUCCACCACUCAACGACAACUCAGACCUUUGAGACUCUACCCCAGCAAAGCGUUGAAGUUGUCCUUCACAAAGACCUUGCUCAAAUUAUGAGUGGACUCAUCACUGUUAGUCAUGCUCAACGUCGAGCAGUCGACUAUAAGGAGCUGUUCAAGGUCUUGAAUGAUCAACUGGUUGAAGCCCAAGCAAAGAUUGAAACUCUGACUAAAUUUGAGAAAGAUCUCCAUGAAAAGACUAAGCAUGCAGAGAAAACAAUUGCCGACUGAGACAGAUCUCUUAGGGAGUUGGUUGACGAAUAACACGCAGAUCCAGGCCAACAAGUCAUUGAAUGGCUAGCUAGAGAAAGUGACUCACGAGAAUGAAGAGUUGAAACAAGACAAUGAAGUUGAUCUGACUCGCUAUGAAGAGAUCUGCUUCAACUGCUUUUAUCAGAUAUGGAAGCUAAACAAACCUCUCAACCUUGACUUUCUCUCUGAAGAGGCAAGGGCAGAAGAGCUUGCCAAAUGUGAAGCCAAGAUCGUCGAGGAGGCAGCCCUUCCAACUGGUGCUGUGCCUGCCUCUCCUACUCAAUCAUUCCGACCAGACGAGGUUCCGGAUGUUGACGAUGGUGUUGACCAACCAGGGACCUGUUUACCCAACCAGUAAACAUGCUACUCAACCAGAGGGGCUUCAUACCCAACCAGGGAGCUUCCUACACAACCAGUGAUGCAUGCUCGGUCGACCAGGGAAGUUGUAUGUGCUCUCCCAACCAGGGAAACUUUGCACUUGACCAGUAGAACUUUGUACUUGGCCAGUAGAUUACUCUUUUUUCUUAUGCUUUUAUAAAGACAAUUGCUGCUUAGCAGCAUUUAUAUUUUGAUUGUACGACCGAGCUGUUGGCAUUUAUACUUUACUUUUCUUUUUUAACUUAAAACAUUUUAAGUCUUUUUAGACUUUAAACAUUAUAAGUUUUUUGUGAAUAGUAAAAUCACUCUGAUUUAUGCCUUAUAUAUUUUCGCAUGAG